rnacentral:tRNA from 1 species
ACCUGGGUGGCUCAGUCGGUUAAGUGUCUGACUUUGGCUCAGGUCAUGAUCUCAUGGUUCAUGGGUUCGAGCCCCACUCCGGGCU